CUCGGGGUGGGGGGUGGCGCCCUCAGCCCAGAUUGAGAGAGGGUACAGGCCAGGCCGAGGGACCCCACCAGUGCACA
rnacentral:pre_miRNA from 1 species